CCUACGGGUGGCAGCAGUGGGGAAUAUUGCACACUGAGGGAAACCCUGAUGCAGCGACGCCGCGUGAGUGAAGAAGUUAUUCGUUAUGUAAAGCUCUAUCAGCAGGGAAGAAAAUGACGGUCCCUGAGUACUACCCCCCUGCUACCUCCGUGCCAGCAACCGCUGUCAUACGUAGGGGGCGAGCGUUAUCCAGAUUUACUGGGGGGAAAGUGAUCGUAGACGGCAGUGGAAUACUUGGAGGAAAGGCGGGGGCUAAAACCCCGGAGUGCUCUGGAAACUGUAAGGCUGGAGUGCAGGAGAGGUAAGCGGAAUUCCUAGUGUAGCGGUGAAAUGCGUAGAUAUAAGGAGGAACACCAGUGGCGAAGGCGGCUUACUGGAUGGUAACUGACGUUGAGGCGCGAAAGCGUGGGGAGCAAACAGGAUUAGAUACCCGAGUAGUC
rnacentral:rRNA from 1 species